rnacentral:lncRNA from 1 species
CGAGGAUGCGGACCUGCGUUUGUGCUCGUGGGUCCUCAUGGGGGCUGCUGGUCACCUUCCACUUUUGCCUUCCGUAUGUUCCACAGUUGAGGGCAGCUCAGGGCAAUAAGGCAAAUGGCUCCAAACUGUCCCACGGUGGAGCCGGUGCUUGGACUGGAGAGGGGGCUCAUGGGGUGGCUUUCCAGGGUCCUGGCUCUCGGAGGAAGUGCAGCUUCGACAGGGACAGAGGUCACUCCUCUCUGCUGUCUCCUAGAUUCUAGGGAAGGGCUUCGACUGGCCGCUGCUGGUGAAGGACUUCAACCUGCUUCACUGGCUUGGUGCCAACGCCUUCUGUACCAGCCACUACCCCUGCGCGGAGGAAGUGCUGCAGAUGUGUGACUGCUAUGGGAUUGUGGUCAUUGAUGAGUGUCCCGCCGUGGGCCUGGUGCUGGCAUGAGUCCCCACCACGCACCUGCUCCACCUGCCCAGCCCGCGGGCCGCACUGUGACCCUCUGUCCCUUCCCUCCUGGCCCGCAGGCAGCUCUUCAACACGUGCCUAUGCAUCAACACAUGCGGGUGAUGGAGGAACUGGUGUGCAGGGACAAGAACCACCCCACCGUGGUGAUGUAGUCUGUGGCCAACAAGCCUGCGUCCUACCUGGAAUCUGCCGGCUACUACUUCAGGGUCCACCUCUGCUGUUCAGUGAAGAGUACCAGAAGAGUCUGCCAGAGAAGUACCAUCUGGGUCUGGAUCAAAAACGCAGAAAAUACGUGGUUGGAGAGCUCAUCGGGAAUUCUGCCUAUUUCAUGACUAUCCAGUGGUUUGCUAAGCCUAGUUAGCCUCAGACUCAGCCUCGAAGAGGACAGAGGAGCACUUCUAAAGCAUGCAUCUCAAGCCCUUUCUUCUGGGGGUCAGACUCCGUGCAUCAGGAUGGAGAUUGGGUGUCAGAUCACCCUUUGUUCUUGCAGAGAGGGUGAGUAACCAAUCCUGAAACCCAGGAGUACCCCACUUGAUCUUCUUAAAAUAAACUCUCCAGAG